rnacentral:rRNA from 1 species
CAGUCACCACGGUAAAACGAAGGGUGCAAGCGUUACUCGGAAUUACUGGGCGUAAAGCGUGUGUAGGUGGUUGUUUAAGUCUGUCGUGAAAGCCCUGGGCUCAACCUGGGAAUUGCGAUGGAUACUGGGCGACUAGAGUGCGGUAGAGGAUAGUGGAAUUUCCGGUGUAGCAGUGAAAUGCGUAGAGAUCGGAAGGAGCAUCUGUGGCGAAGGCGACUAUCUGGGCCAACACUGACACUGAGACACGAAAGCGUGGGGAGCAAACAGGAUUAGAGACCCCUGUAGUCCCUGUCUCUUAUAC